ACACUGUCUGGCUUUCUCCUGUGCAAUCCCUGAGUUUUUGGUUGCAAUUCUGACACAACCCUUUCGGGUGGGCGGGACUUCUGAGAAGUCCUCUCCCAUAGGACAGUGGUUUCUCUUGAGUGAUAGUUCAGUGACCUGGAAGUGAUGUAGCCUCCAAGACAUUUUUUUUCCCCCACCUGGUCAACACCAUGAAUUUUGAGCCCCAAACAGGUUAUUUCUGCUGUCUGUGGUGUCUACUGAGGAUCUAAAGAACCUGUGGAACAUCAGAGACUUUGCAGCUACUGGAGCUAACCUUUGUACUGCUAUUGCUACAGAGGAAGCAGCAGAAAGCUGAGCUAACAGGCUGUUUUGCAGGUAAAUACUCUUUUAGUGGAACUGCAGGAUUUUUAUGGUAUAACUCAGACAGAAUCUACAUGAGCUAUUGUGGGAAGACAUUUAAACUACAUUUACAUACAGAUACAUGUAUUUUUUUAUUCCAUGUUACUUGGACGGGCUAAACAAGUUCAUAGUUCUGCCUGCUCCUUUUUCAGUGAAACGAAUGGAUUUUAUGAUGUAACUCUGACUGAAUAAUUAUCUAAAUUGAAAACUGCUGCAUUGCAUUACAAUGGAAGUGCUAAACAGCCACAUGCAUCAACUGCAGCUGUUGACAAGCAUAUGGACCUAUUGUUCGAGUCCGUGGUGGUGGAUGCUCUAUCAUAUCAGGAGUCGGUGGUGGUGGAUGCUCUACCAUAUCAGGAGUCUGACUAAGUACCUGUGCCUGAACCUCUCUGUGUCUAGUUCAAAAGACCUGAAAGACCUGCUGUAAGCAGGCACAGGAUAAUAUUUUAAAAGAACCUGUAAGGUGAGCAACACAACACAAUAUAAAUCUUUAUUAUUAUUGUACGCUGUACAGUUAGAAUAAACUUGCAUGCUCAGAAGCCACGUAUGAUUACAUCGCCUACAGGUUGCCUGAUGCUGAACUUCGGGCAGCUGCGUGCUCCGUGGAACAACCGCCUGUGGGAGGAGUCGUUGUGUUGCUGUUAGGAGUUUGGGUCGGAGUCCUGGGUUUGUGUUCCCUUUAAUCUCUUCAUUAGCCUUGCUAGUCACCAUUGCAGAGCACCAUGGAGAGGCUUACCUGAAAACUCUUCUCAUGGGGCAGGCACAUCCUCACACACCUGUAACCCCAUCCUUGAAUAAAAGCUGGUAGCUGGUCACUCAUCAGAGUGUUUUAACCCAUAUCUAGCCCAUGACUCUGCCGUUUUUCAAACUUACGUUCUCAUGUUCUAUGCAGAUCUAUGGGAAUUCUUUCCUUGAAGCUCCUGAUCACACAACCAUACUGGCAGUCGGCUUACCCACUACCUUCUGCUCACCCGCUUGCUACUCAUGCUGUCAUUCUCCCAGACUUCUGGUUGUUUCGCCACCAUUCUGCUGUCUCCCGUCUGCGCUACAAUUUUAGACCGUAAGUACCUAAACUUUUCCUUUUGUAAGUCAUUCUUUAGUCAUUACUAACACUCAAUUUUACCUCAGGGCCUUCUGAUCUUUAAACACUAAAACCUGUGGCUCCAUCUCUGUGGUGUUUCUCAGACUCUGUAAGCUACCUGCACAGUCUAAGAAAACCCUGACCUGUUGCCUCUUACUAACCUCUGCUCUUCCUCGCAGAAGCUUCUGGUUCCUGAUCUCCAGCUGUUACCUCUUCAGUCAUCCGUCAAACAUUUUAAUAAACUGUUUUUAGCUCAUUUGUCUCCUGAGUUUCUCUGCAUGAAGGUCAGGUUGUUGCAAAAAUCAUGACAUCAGCAAUUACUUUGCACCACUCUGUUAAACAGCUGAUAUUAAUUUCAAGUGUAUCUUUAAAAAUACAUUGAAUGUCAAAGUGAAUGAAAGGCAUCCAUUCAGCUUUCGGUGUCUAAUGCAGGAUUUUAUGGACAGGCACCAAAACAGGAAAUUUAUAAAUUGAGAUUUAUUUACUAAAUCAGGUAAACCAUAAUAAAAUACUAAUGUUUAAAGUCCGGAGGAGGGAGGAAGGCUUUAUAGCAGGGGUAUUCAAUUCUAGUCCUGGAUGGCUGGUAUCCAGCACGUUUUAGUUGUUUCCCUGCUCCAACACACUUGAAUCAGUGGUUGAAUUACCUGUGCAGCAGCUCUGCAGAAGCCUGUUAAUUAUCUGCUGACUGAAAUCAGGUGUAUUGAAACAGAGUUAAAACUAAAACGUGCUGGAUACCGGCCCUCCAGGCCCAGAAGUAAAUACUCCUGCUUUAUAGGCACAGAGAACUCCCAUCAGGAUCCUGGAGACGGCACAAAGAGAUGACGACAUGAGUGUGCCCUCCCAGAUCACACCAACACCACCUGACCACAUGGAGAAAUGUGUCUGUAAGAAAGAAAAACUGGUGAUGUAAGAGAUUAAACAAAAACUACGAACAAAAUCAAUUUUACAGUUGUUUAACCUGCUGAGCAUCGUCUCCCCAAAGAGCUGCACAAAGGUGCAACUGGCUCAGAACCAGGGUGCUCCGUUAUGCAGGUGGUCACCUCCUCCUGCUGACACCCGAGGAUUACCUACAACAAAGGGAAAACUGAUAUCAAUAAGGAAAUAAUUAAAUCAGAGCUAAAAGUUUAAUUUUAGUGUGACGUUUGAGAUUGUGGGAAAUAAAUGUGGACAUUAUGAUUUUCUAUUGUGGGAUCAGUACCUUGGGCGUUUCUCUGUAGCAACAUUUUGUCUGGCUGACAAUGAAGUAAAAAAGUCACCAGUUGAGGCAGAGUUAGACUACAUUACUCCAGCUAAGCUAAAUGUAGCUAAAAUAGACACUAGUCACCAGACUAUGGUUACUAUAGAUUUACUAGAGAGUUACAUCAUAUAAUCCAUUCGUUUCACUGAAAAAGGAGCAGGCAGAACUAUGAACUUGUUUAGCCCGUCCAAGUAACAUGGAAUAAAAAAUACAUGUAUCUGUAUGUAAAUGUAGUUUAAAAGUCUUCCCACAAUAGCUCAUGUAAAUUCUGAGUUAUACCAUAAAAGUCCUGCAGUUCCACUAAAAGAGUAUUUACCUGCAAAACAGCCUGUUAGCUCAGCUUUCUGCUGCUUCCUCUGUAGCAAGUUAGCAGUACACAGGUUAGCUCUAAUAGCUGCAAAGUCUCUGAUGUUCCACAGGUUCCUGAAAAAUUUGCAAACUUAUUAACAUAAACCGCAAUAAUUUAUUCCAUGAAACCAGUAAUGAAUAUGUUAAGAUGAGUUUUUAAUACGUCUCUCUGGAACAAUAGUCCAUUGUCCUGAGGCUAGCACAAUGGCUUGCUUAGCAGCUAGCUAGUGAGCUAGCGUCUGGUUAAAACCAACUUAAAAAGUGGCUUAACUUACAGAUGAACUAAGAAAAGAUAAAAUAUAUUAUCAAUACUCACUUUAGAUCCUCAGUAGACACCACAGACAGCAGAAAUAACCUGUUUGGGGCUCAAAAUUCAUGUUGUUGACCAGGUGGAAAAAAAUGUCUUGGAGGCUACAUCACUUCCAGGUCACUGAACUGUCACUCAAGAGAAACCACUGUCCUAUGGGAGAGGACUUCUCAGAAGUCCCGCCCACCCGAAAGGGUUGUGUCAGAAUUGCAACCAAAAACUCAGGGAUUGCAAAGGAGAAAGCCAGACAGUGUAAGUGCAAAUCUGGAAGUGAGAGCAAAGCUCUGAGCAGAGAGAACAAAACUAAGGAAAUUGAUAACAAAAACACAUAGAGGCAAACAGAAAAAGGAAACAUACUUUGUUACUCAUUUUAAGAAGUUGAUUCAGAUAGUAAGUUUUACUUUUGAAACAUGUUUUUUUCCUUUAGUCAAUAUUUUUGUUCUGUCAAUUUCUUAAUUUUUGUUUGACCGUCAAAGUGUUUUUCUUGAUCAUUUUAAGAAUCUGAUUCAGAUCGUAAGUUUUUCUUUUGAAACCAAGGUUUUUUCUCUCAAUGUCUUAAAAUUUGUUUGCUCUCCAAAGUGUUUUUCUUGAUCCUAUUGGCACAAAUCUAAU